rnacentral:rRNA from 1 species
GACGAACGCUGGCGGCGUGCCUAAUACAUGCAAGUUGAGCGCUGAAGGUUGGUCCUUGUACCAACUGGAUGAGCAGCGCACGGGUGAGUAACGCGUGGGGAAUCUGCCUUUGAGCGGGGGACAACAUUUGGAAACGAAUGCUAAUACCGCAUAAAAACUUUAAACACAAGUUUUAAGUUUGAAAGAUGCAAUUGCAUCACUCAAAGAUGAUCCCGCGUUGUAUUAGCUAGUUGGUGAGGUAAAGGCUCACCAAGGCGAUGAUACAUAGCCGACCUGAGAGGGUGAUCGGCCACAUUGGGACUGAGACACGGCCCAAACUCCUACGGGAGGCAGCAGUAGGGAAUCUUCGGCAAUGGACGAAAGUCUGACCGAGCAACGCCGCGGGAGUGAAGAAGGUUGUCGGAUCGUAAAACUCUGUUGGUAGAGAAGAACGUUGGUGAGAGUGGAAAGCUCAUCAAGUGACGGUAACUACCCAGAAAGGGACGGCUAACUACGUG